GAACCUAAGUACACAGCCAUGACAAUGCAGGAGUGGCUUCGAGACAAGUCUCUGAAUGUCCUUGAGUGGCCCAGCCAGAGCCCGGACUUGAACCCGGUCGAACAUCUCUGGAGACACCUGAAAAUAGCCACACAGCAACCCUCCCCCAUGUAACCUGACAGAGCUUGAGAAGAUCUAAAUGUAAUUUAUGGUUCGGGAAGACCAUAUUCAUAGUUUCCUCGUGCAUAAAGGUGGUGGAAUUAUUAGGGAAUUAAGUCAAGGUCAGACACACCUCCGCCACAUCUUCAUUUAUUCGAUCUCCCCCAAAACGAAUAGCAGGUGAAUAGCACGCUAUUCUCAUGCUUAAGUUUGAUGUCAGAAUAUGCACAGAGAGAAAAGUGCAUAAAAAGGGAAUUACGUUCCAUUUAUGCACGCUUAAAACUCGGGUCGGAAUCAGCAUCCCUGAACAAUAGAAGGAAUUGCAAAGCCGUUAAAAAGCAAGUUGCAGCCAAGUAAAACGUAUUUCAUUUUUGACACAAGUUGGCAUUGAGUUGCAGAUAGAGCCAAAAGUUAGGAAAAAGUAACAGUCCAUUGUUGUUGCUUGUUGUUCAUGUUCUUCCUCCUCAGUCGAGCGGCUGGCCAGUCACCAUGGCAACACACGUGAUAAUCAACAACAACCAACAGUCUCAGCCUCCUCAGCCCUAGACACCAGCUCUAAUAGCCACCCACUCUAACCAGUGGAGCACUGGCAUCUGUGGCUGCUUCGACGACUUACAAGUCUGUGAGUCUGUCGGUCAGAGUUCAGUUUACAUCUGUAUUUCAGAAUGUCUUAUUAAAACAUGGCAUAUUUUGAGACAUCAACCUCUUGAUACAACCACUCUUUAUAUUCCAUGCAUACAAAAUAACUUCAUAAAAACACAGCGCUACACGCUACUAAUCACGGUGAGUUAGAUACGUCUCCUAUCAGUGCUAGCAGAUCUUUUCUCUGCCCUGCACUCUCUCACCCCAUCCUCAGGCUGUUUUGCCUACUGGUGCUUCCCCUGUUUUGCAUACACCACCUCAAAGUUCGGAGAGUGUUUCUGUCUCCCCCUGCUGGACAUCUUAAUGGGAUUUACCCAGCUGGUAUGGGUGUCUUCCCGGACCCCUCGUGUCCAUGUCCAUGAAGGUGGCAGUGUGCAACCGCUAUGCCAUUCAUGUAGGUUAACAAAUUGAGAGCUGUACUAUUAGUCUGAACGCCUGAAUGAAGAUACUAAAGGGAGACUAUCAGACUAAGCUUAUGGACUUUGUGUAAGUGUGAGGCAGUGCAUUCUCCACAGCACAUGAGGGCUUAUGUGGGCUUGUGCCUAAUAAUACAAAUAAUAAUCAUUUAUUCAACUUAUUUAGCACUUUUCAAAGAAUCUUAAAGCGCUCCAAAGCACAAAAAAGACAAGUAAUUUAAAAAAACAACAUCUGAGAUGGACAGUCAUUAAGUUCAUGGCUUGAGUGGUCAUCUGAGGUAGGUGGUCAAGAGAAAGUCCAGAGGUAGGCAGAAAGCACUCGCUGUCUCUGGCUGUUCCAUAAUAGAACUCAGUCACAUGAAGUUUGAGCUUAGUUUUAGCAGUCAAUGUAAUCAUACAGUAUUCCAGGUUUGGUACCCUUUGCCUAUACCUUAUUGCAACUGUUUGUGACUAGAUACACUAUAGAGUACUAAACAUGACGCCUACAAGAUCAAACGAUAAUGACUGUUUGAGAUUAUAGUAUUUAAGUCAUAUGUCACGUCUCUCUAAAGGGUGACAUGAUGGCGGACUGUGUGUACUCCACCUUUUGCAACAUCUGCUCCUGGUGCCAGCUGGCCCGGGAGAUCAAGAGACGCAGACAGACCAUCACAGUCAUCAACGCCCAGUCCGCGAUGCUGCCCGGUCAGAACAUGGUGAUGGCCUCCCAGCCUGGGGUCAAUACAUCUCAGACCACGGGUCAUAUCCUCUCAGCCUAUAAUCAACUCCACCCCUCAGGCAGUCUUGGCCACUAGGUUCAGGUAACCUUUGACCUUUGACCCUGCAAACACACCUCACGGGGUUAGCCACGCCCUCUGGUGGUAAAGCCAAGGUAUCUACUCUUUCAACUCCUUUAAAAAUUAUGCUCCCAAUAUAUGUCAAUCCCCCAAUGCAGAUGGAAAUUAGUUAAAUGUAGAUUAUGUAAGUGUUAAUUAUGAAAACAUAUAAAUAGCUUUAACCAUAGAAUACAUUUAAAUACCAUAGCCUGUAGCACUCACACUAUGUCAUUUAAUGAACCUUUAUUAACCUUUAUUUAACUGGGCAAGUCAGUUAAGAACAAAUUCUUAUUUACAAUGAUGGCCUAGCACCAUUCUAAGCAAGCCUGUGAUAACUUAUUCUUACUACAGUUUAGCAUCUCUGUUAACUUAAGAGCCGGGCAGUUGUUAAUGUCGUUGGAUAAGGCCAGCAGAGCAAGUUAGAGAGGGAGGCUGUAGCCCUCUGAUACGACUGUGGUAACAGUCACAGUGACUCAUGUGCUGUGAUUUUAAUCAUCGUUAAAGCUCACGUUUAUUUUCCUUCUGCUGUGUCCUCCCUCCCUCCCUCUCCGUCCCUUCCUCCCUCAUUUUACAUUUUAGUCCGAUUUACAAUUAGCGCAUUCAUCUUAACAUAGGUGAGACAACCACAUAUCACAGUCGUAGCAAGUACAUUUUCAGUCAAUAAAGUACUAUAGUUAUCCUCAAAGUCAGUGUUGGUAGGAAAAGAAGGGUGGGAGGCCCUGUGGGAUUUAUUCCAGAUACUCAUUGAAUAGAUUGGGUUUUAUACAUUUUCGGAAGAUGGUUGGGGACUCCGCUGUCCAGACGAUAGGGGGAAGCUUGUUCCACCAUUGGUGUGUCAGGACUGAGAAGUUUUAACUGGGCUGAGCAGAAGCUGACCCCCUGUAGGGGUAGAACGGCCAAGAGACCAGAAAUGGCAGAAUGGAGUGCACAGGUUGGGGUAUAGGGUUUGAGCAUAGUGUGCUCUGUCUCGCUCGCUCGCUCUCAAUUCCAUUCUCUCUCUCUCUCUGUCUUUCUCUCUCACCUUCCCUCUCUCCCUUCUCCCUCUGACUUUCCAAAACAUAGAAGGACAUUGCUGUACAUUAGUGAAGGGAAGAGUCCAUCUAAAGUCAAAUGGAUUUAUUGUCAAAUACAUUUUUAUCAAAACAUUAUCUAUACCAAAGACUACCAUGUGUUAAUGUGAAAAAGAAAAUUUUACUUUGCCUGCAACUUUUAUAUUUGUUGUUCAACAAAAUAAACAAUUGUUCGCUAAACAACUCUAAACUAUUAUUCUCCUGUUUCUGAAAAUUUGACAAUACAAAAAAAUGUAAGAGAGACUGCCCUUAAAACGGCCUACGAAGCAUCAUUAUGAGUCAGAAACAUGUAUUCUAGUGUUAAAAUUUACUACAAAGUGUAAAUAGGAUCAUUUUGGUCAUCAAGUCAGUUUAGUCUAAAACUGAGUUUGGAACCUGUGUGUCACAACAAGUAAAUUAAGGUUGGGUUUGGAUUACAAUAUCAACAAAUCGUGCUUCCUUUUGCCAUUCUCCACGUGCAAAUCGUCCUUCCGCUUCCCUUCACUGAAUAUGACCCGGGGCUCUGUUGUUUCAUCGCCUCCCGCCGGUUUGAGACUGAAAAUACCUAUACACAUUUGAUCAUGCCUCCACAAACAAAGUUUUGACUUUGUGGCUGCGGUAACUAGUGGAAACCAAAGUUCUAUAGUUUGCAUGCCCUGCCAAAGGAACAAAGAUUUGUAUAGCUAGUCUCAUUUUUCUAGCUGUGCUAGUACUCGUAGCCUAGUAUGCUGAAUAGGUGGUUGGAGUUUGUCGCUCCCCUAGUCUGCACCAGUAACGCUAGCUUGGUGUGCAUCAAAUGGUGGUGGUGCAUAUAACUAUAGAUACUGGAACAUCAUGUCCUAGCUAGCUGGUGUAAUUUAGCCAAGGACUCUAUAUAACAUUCUUGCUGGUUAUGUAGGUAACGUUAGCUAUCUGUUGAUAGAGUGAGGCAGGCUAGCUAAUAUCUUGGCUACCAUUAACGUAGUUAGUUAGUUGGAUAACUAACUAGCUACCUCAUGACAAUUUAUCAUUUGAUAACGCUAGCAAGGCAGGCUAGCUAACUAACGUUACCCUACUACAAGUCGGAUUUGAAAGUCAGUUUGUAGCUCAUACAAGUGUAUUCUGUAUUGUUUAGGGCAAAAUUAAAUAAUGGAUUCAGCUAUGAUGGUAACUAAUUAAAGUCUGACUAAUACAAUGAACUAGGAACAACAAACCGUCACCGGCCUGAAUCUAAUCCAAUCUGGAGCUAGUCAGUCAACAUCUGUAAAGCAUAAAAUUAACUUGACCAGAGGUACUGCCCUGAUGACACAGACAGCUUCAUCAACAAUGUAAUGUGUGUUGUGUGAAAAGUUGUAAUUACCCAGGUUUGAUAAACUAGUAGGUCAAGGUUAAUUACCCAGCUAAGCAGAUACAAGUAGUAAGUCAUUUUGGUUGUGAAGUGCAUUAUCGAAAAGCUUUGUCCUUUCCUGAUAAUAAUUGACCACUUGGCUGGCCCUUGUAUUACCGGCGCUCCCAGUCAGCACCACCUCAUAAGAUGAGGAAGUACAUUUUGUUUAUGAGAAAUGUCCAAUUUGCAGCUGAACAUGCAACAUAGAGAAGACCAGCAAACGGACCCUCAGCAUCAUGAAGACAUGCCCUCGCUAAACAUGUAUGGAGUCAGCACAUGGAGACUUUCAAGAUGAAGUCCAGACUGAUAGACAGGCUUGAUACUGAUGUCUGAAUUGGGGAGAGAGGCCUGGCACUUGGCAUUACAAUCGUACCAGACACACAUUUUACAUGUAUUUUUUUUAAUUAUUGAAUGCAAUGUUAUCAGUCAAUAUGGGGUGGGACAAACCCUGUGUGCUCUGCACCAGGAUCUGGAAACUCCUAUUGUAUACGGGACACCACAUGUUUGCCAAGGUCGCCCCAAUUCCACUAGACCAAAUGCAGAUAAUCACAGUAUCUGUAUCGGCUGGGAACGACAAUGAAAGGUGCACAUUGUUAUAUUAGCAGAACCCUGAUUCUACGGUAUUAUGUGAAGGGCUGUUUAUUUUACAUGGGCCUGUUAAUUAAUUUGAAAGUUAUCAAAACAUUAGUUUAGAAUAUCUGCAUAAAUUCAGCAAUUGCAUUCUUCUCAUAUUACUCUGUAAGCUACUGAACUAUUCAAAGGCGGCAGGUUGAGUGUUGGACUAGUAACCGAAAGGUUGCAAGAUCGAAUCCCCGAGCAGACAAGGUAAAAAUCUGUCAUUCUGCCCCUAAACAAGGCAGUUAACCCACUGUUUCUAGGCCAUCAUUGAAAAUAAGAAUUUGAUCUUAACUGACUUACCUAGUUAAAUCAAAUAAAACAUUUAAAAAG